UGGGGAAUUUUGGACAAUGGGGGCAACCCUGAUCCAGCCAUGCCGCGUGAGUGAAGAAGGCCUUCGGGUUGUAAAGCUCUUUCGGCGGGGAAGAAAUGGCAACGGCUAAUAUCCGUUGUUGAUGACGGUACCCGCAUAAGAAGCACCGGCUAACUACGUGCCAGCAGCCGCGGUAAUACGUAGGGUGCGAGCGUUAAUCGGAAUUACUGGGCGUAAAGCGUGCGCAGGCGGUUUCGUAAGACAGACGUGAAACCCCCGGGCUCAACCUGGGAACUGCGUUUGCGACUGCGAGGCUAGAGUACGGCAGAGGGGGGUAGAAUUCCACGUGUAGCAGUGAAAUGCGUAGAGAUGUGGAGGAAUACCGAUGGCGAAGGCAGCCCCCUGGGUUAGUACUGACGCUCAUGCACGAAAGCGUGGGGAGCAAACA
rnacentral:rRNA from 1 species